rnacentral:rRNA from 1 species
CGAAAGCCUGACGGAGCAAGACCGCGUGGGGGAGGAAUGCCUUAGGGUUGUAAACCCCUUUUAUCUGGGAAGAACAAAAUGACGGUACCAGAUGAAUAAGCCUCGGCUAACUCCGUGCCAGCAGCCGCGGUAAUACGGAGGAUGCAAGCGUUAUCCGGAUUUAUUGGGCGUAAAGCGUCCGCAGGCGGCUAAUCAAGUCUGCUGUUAAAGGCCGAGGCUUAACUUCGGUUGAGCAGUGGAAACUGAUUAGCUAGAGUGCGAUAGGGGUAGAGGGAAUUCCCAGUGUAGCGGUGAAAUGCGUAGAUAUUGGGAAGAACACCAGUGGCGAAGGCGCUCUACUGGGUCGCAACUGACGCUGAGGGACGAAAGCUAGGGGAGCG